GAUGAACGCUGGCGGCGUGCCUAAUACAUGCAAGUCGAGCGAACAGACGAGGAGCUUGCUCCUCUGACGUUAGCGGCGGACGGGUGAGUAACACGUGGAUAACCUACCUAUAAGACUGGGAUAACUUCGGGAAACCGGAGCUAAUACCGGAUAAUAUAUUGAACCGCAUGGUUCAAUAGUGAAAGACGGUUUUGCUGUCACUUAUAGAUGGAUCCGCGCCGCAUUAGCUAGUUGGUAAGGUAACGGCUUACCAAGGCCACGAUGCGUAGCCGACCUGAGAGGGGUAGUCGGCCCCCCGGAACCGAGACCCCGUUCCGAACUCCACGGGGAGGCAGCGGUGGGGAAUCUUCCGCAUGGGGCGAAGCCCUGCCGAGCCACCGCGGCUUGGGUAAUAAGGGUCUUCGAUUCGUAAAACCUUGUUAUUGGGAAAAAACAAAUGUUAAAGAAACAAUGCCCGUCUGACCGUUACCUAACCAAAAGGCCCCGCCUACCUCCUG
rnacentral:rRNA from 1 species